rnacentral:lncRNA from 1 species
AGUGGUUAAAAGAUAGAACAGUCUAGUCAAGUGCCAUGUCUCUUAUUCUUGAUCAGCUAUAGCUCUGGUGUUUUUGCAGAUUUUCAAAUAAAACUCAGAGAUUCCUUGUAUGAUUCUCUCAGAUCUCUCUUUUGUGGUAUUUCUGGAUCCUUACCAAGGCAGUGAUGGUAUAUGCCUUCUCUCAAGAUAUGUGGUAUUUGUGGUAUAAAGCAUAGUGACAUUGUCUUCUCUCUCACCCUAUUCUAAUAAGGCUUUAAUAUCUGGAGCUCAUAGGUGGGAGAUAAAGUAUACAUACUUACAAGACAUUUAUUGCAUAGUCAAACCAUGGAUCCAAAGAAACAAAUCAAUAAGCCAAAUCAAGAUGUGCAUGUGUAGCGAAUGAAUGGUGUAUGGUGAUGAUGGUGAUAACAAUGGUGGAAGUCUAAUUCUACUUUUGCUCUUUUGAGGGGAUACAUACCUUCCUUGCUUUCUGAAACUUUAUGAGGAGAAUGAGAUGCUCUAUAUUUUUCUUUUCUCUCAGGUGGGUAUCUUGUACCCCUAAUUCUACUGCCGGACACUUGUCCAUUUUUACCUCUCGUCUCUCUUUUUCUUUUCUU